UCCCUGGUCGUCUAGUGGUUAAGACUCAACGCUUCCACUGCAGGGGGUGCGGGUUUGAGUCCUGGCCAGGGAA
rnacentral:tRNA from 1 species